rnacentral:rRNA from 1 species
UACGUAGGGUGCGAGCGUUAAUCGGAAUUACUGGGCGUAAAGCGUGCGCAGGCGGUCUGUUAAGACCGAUGUGAAAUCCCCGGGCUUAACCUGGGAACUGCAUUGGUGACUGGCAGGCUUUGAGUGUGGCAGAGGGAGGUAGAAUUCCACGUGUAGCAGUGAAAUGCGUAGAGAUGUGGAGGAAUACCGAUGGCGAAGGCAGCCUCCUGGGCCAACACUGACGCUCAUGCACGAAAUCGUGGGGAGCAAACAGG